UUUUGUAGAGGAAACGCGUGAUUUUUUGGAUACAUGGGGGAUUCUUGUAGCAAAAAUGUUUGAUUUUGGGGUCAAAUGGGGAUAUUUGAAGAGCAAAAGUGUGAUUUCCGAGUUAAAUGGGGGAUUUUCCUAGAGAAAUGUGUGAUUUGGGGGAUAAUGGGGGUAUUUUUGGAGAGAAAAUGCAUGAUUUGGGGGUAAAUGCGUAUUUUCCAAGAGAAAAGGUGAGGUUUUUGAGUUAAAUGGGGGGGUUUUCCAAGAGAAAAUGCGUGAUUUUGGGGUUAAACGGGGGAUUGUUGAAGAGAAAACGCGCAAUUUUGGUUUAAACAGCAAGUUUUGAGAGAA
rnacentral:lncRNA from 7 species